rnacentral:rRNA from 1 species
AACGAACGCUGGCGGCAUGCCUAACACAUGCAAGUCGAACGAGACCUUCGGGUCUAGUGGCGCACGGGUGCGUAACGCAUGGGAACCUGCCCUUAGGUUCGGAAUAACUCCCCGAAAGGGGUGCUAAUACCGGAUAAUGUCUUCGGACCAAAGAUUUAUCGCCUUUGGAUGGGCCCGCGUUGGAUUAGCUAGUUGGUAGGGUAAAAGCCUACCAAGGCGACGAUCCAUAGCUGGUCUGAGAGGAUGAUCAGCCACACUGGGACUGAGACACGGCCCAGACUCCUACGGGAGGCAGCAGUGGGGAAUAUUGGACAAUGGGCGAAAGCCUGAUCCAGCAAUGCCGCGUGAGUGAUGAAGGCCGUAGGGUUGUAAAGCUCUUUUACCCGGGAUGAUAAUGACAGUACCGGGAGAAUAAGCUCCGGCUAACUCCGUG